UUAACAAUAAUGUGAUAAAUUAUUAAAAUGGCUAUUGCACUAUAAUAGAAUAACAUGACAAUAUUCUUCUUUAAAAUACCUUUAAUAUAAUGUAAUACAGUAAGAGUGCCUCUGUGUUCAGCUUAUCGCAGGUCUCUGUCUGGAUGGUGGUGAGUGCAGUUUCCCCACACCAUAUCUAUGGUAAUGACCCGUGGCGUCAGGUGGGGCGGCUGUCUCACUCGCCCUCGCUCAGCUCAGUCACUCUGACCAUGACGAAUCCCUGCCCGAGGUUCUCUCACUCUUCAGUGAAGUUCAGUGGUGAUGCUUCAAUUGCUUAUCGCAGGUCUCUGUCUGGAUGGUGAUGAGUGCAGUUUCCCCACACCAUAUCUAUGGUAAUGACCCGUGGCGUCAGGUGGGGCGGCUGUCUCACUCGCCCUCGCUCAGCUCAGUCACUCUGACCAUGGCGAAUCCCUGCCCGAGGUUCUCUCACUCUUCAGUGAAGUUCAGUGGUGAUGCUUCAAUUGGUGGGUGACGCUGGGCUGGGGUCCAGUUCAGCUUCUUGUGGGACAGUGAGAGCCAGAGUUUACUUUAUUGGGAAUUACUUUUUUAAAAAUAUAUAUAUUGUAUGUAAUGUUAAGGAAAAUGCCACAUACUAAAAAUCUCAUCGUUCAUGAAGUAUAACAUUUAAUACACUGUAAAAAAUGUUGGGUUUCACAGUCGAUUUGUGUUGGGACAAUAUGAAGGAAUAAAAAUGGCUUAAUAGUUCAAAUGGGUUAAACAUGAAGCAAUUAAAGACUUUUAGCUUAUUUUAAAUCAGUUCAUAUAUUAACCUUUUUUUUGAACGAAAAAAUGGUGAUUAAUAAUUUUAUUCUCUCUCAUGGUGGUAAUAAAGACAAAAAUAUAUAAAGUAAAUAUGUAAAGUAAUCAACAAAUAUAAAACGUGUAAGGUGAUAAGUAAAUAAUACAUGAAAAAACAAUAUAUAUAUAUAUAUAUAUAUAAUAAAUGCAUUAAAGUAAAUUAUACUGUUAAUAUCUGCAAAAUAAAAUGUUUAAAUUAUAGCUGCUGUUGUGUCAUUUGUGUGGCUGUGCUCUGAUGUGAGCGGAUUAACAAGUUGAUGUACUUAAUGUAUUAAAGAAACAUGUUUUAUGAAUAAACUUUCCACGAUUUAUGCAAAGAUAUGUUGGCAAUUUAAAUGGUUUAUUGUAUUAUAUAUUAUAUAUUAUGUAAAACAUUGUUCUUAUUUUAGGUUAUUGUAAUGUAUUAAUGUAAUUGAAAUAAUAGUCAUGAGAUUUACAGUUAUUUAAGUUAUUUAGAAAUGUGCAAUGCUUUAAUGUUCCAAUGUUUUAAUCACCAGGAAAGAAUUUUUUUUUUUUUUUUUUUUUGCUUUUUAAUCUUUCUAAAUUAACAGAAAACUUAUGUUGUUGUGUUAUUGUGGGAUUGUUGAGUGUAUGCAACUGUCUUAUGCAGGGUUAAAGAAAUUUCCUUUGUGUCAGGCAACGGACAAAAUUGAAACUAAAGCUAAACAGUUUGCUCCUGGCUAAGAUUCAUUUUUAUGUAAAUUAUUUAAUAAUUUUUGUUAAGCUGUUGUUUAUUUUUUUUGUCUUGUUGUUGAAUAUGUACAAUAUUUGUUGUAUGGGUGUGAAUUGAGGUAAAGUUGCUUUUAUAUUUCGCACAUUCUUUCAUUGUCAAAUUGACACUCGCUGUAUUGUUUACCAUGGUACUCUGAAUAUAUUGGGGUAAAGUUGGUUUUAUAUUAGCUCAUUAGUUCAGUGACAACUUGUGAUAUGCUCCCUCUAUUUUUUAUCAUGGUACUUUGAAUAUAGUAAGGGAACGUUGGUUUUAUAUUCACACAUUUGUUCAGUAACAACUUUACACACUCCCUAUAUUGUUUACCCUGGUACUUUAAAUAUUCAGGCUGAAAUCACAUGCAAGAAUGACUUCAAAACCCGAGCACUAUUUAUUUGACUCUUACCACUGUGGUACUUUGCUAGUCAUUGGCUGCUAAUAAGAUUUCACUAUUUAAAAUGAGCAAAUAUUACUUUUUUAAACUUAAAUUGAGAAAGUGUGAAUAUAAAACUAACUUUACCUCAAUUAGCUAUGCCCUAGUAUCAUAUUUUAA
ensembl:lincRNA